UACGUUUCUGGUUUCUUUUUUUAUUGUCUAACUAGUGCGCGCGCGAUGAGCUCGCUUUGUUCAAUUUCGCUUCGAGCGUCUUAUUUUUUGGUUCGGCAAUUUAAUCCAAAAAUGAUUUUAAAUUAUGGAAUAAUAAUAUUUGUUGAAUUCGAAAUUUACGCCUCAGAGUAUACGUCGAAAAAAAGUUUGGUUACCGUGGCGACCCAAACCCUCUCAGCACCCGGACUAUAAGCAAGUUUGCAACGAUGUUUACUGUUGUUGUUGUUGCAUUGUUAAAAUUCCAGAGGUUAACGAGGCAGUAUUCCAUAGUUACCACGUUAAAUUUCGUAUACGACCUACUUUGUACACCACAACAUAUCUGCUGUAAUCUCCAAUACGACGACUAAAAGCGCAUGUUAUUCUUCGUGCAAAGCAUCAAGAUAGAGCUGAUAGAUACGACAUAAUUUUUUCGAGUUCACUGCGGACUUGUAUAAAUUAUUCCAGAUACGUAAUCAAAUCCAUCUAUCUUUUCGUAUGCAAAUUCAGAGAGACCUGGGUCACGAAACGUCUUAUCUCAAACUUCAGAAGUUACCUACUUCGGUUAAGCCUCGCAUUUCCAAAAAGCUUUCUUCAAGAUAACGUCCGGAGUUAUUUUUAGGAAACUCGACUUGCAAAAUUGAAACGGGACCAAACAAAAGCAAAAUUGUGCGCUUACCCAGAUGAUUGCAGAGCAGUUCAUGUGUCUCGAGGUCCGGAUAGUCGAAGGUGUCCCUACAGAAGAGCACCCGAGUGCCGGACGUGGCGGUGAAGCCUCCGAGGGCUGCCGCAACGGACGAGCAAAGCCACGACGACUCGGAGCUCUCCAGUCGUCUGAGCAGAGCUCGAUAGCGGCAAUACCUCGGGUACGAGAGGACGACAACUUUGGUCUGGUUGACGGGUUCGCUGCGGCGCGUCGACGUCGUCAGGGCGUCCAGGUCCUUCUGGUGGCGCUCGACGUCCGAGAAAUUGAGUCCGGGAUCCGACAGGAUCUGAGGCUGUGGACUGCUGUCCGGCGAGGAUGACGACGUCGGUGGUAACGAGACUUCGCGACCCCACGACCACUCGAGCGACGGGGAGAGCCAUGUCACCAGGUCGUGCACGCGCACCACUACCUUUUCCGAGAUCGUCAGCACUUCGUCCUGUUGGCAGAAAACAAAAUUUGAUCAAUUACCGAUCGCGCAAUCGCCACGCGAAAACCGUAUAAAAGCAGUUAAACAAGUGGACCUGGCAAGCAAUUCAGAUUGACGGUAUAAACCUGUUCUGUAAAAAAGAAGAGCUUCUUUACAGCAACAAAGGAGCCCUUAAGGCGGGAACAAAGUUUCGCUCUUCAAAAAGAAAAGUUUCAAGACCUUGCUGUGAAAAAAAAAAAUAAUAAAUGACAAUGAGUUGCGCUCAAAGUACGUGUAAUGCCGCAGUUACGUCACUGGAGUAUCGCUGUGUCUUCGCUGACAAUAGGUAUGAGCGAAUACACUUUGAUGAAGUGAAACAACAAUGAAUACGUGUUAUGCCUGGCUUAUUGGUGUACUACGCGGCGUGUAUAGAAGGCGCGGUUAGUUGAAACAUUAGUUGCGCCAGAUGAACGAUCGGGUAUACAAAAAGUGCAGAUAAUGCAAAUAAUGAUGCAUGUGCAUACGGGCGUUACUAUCAAGUAUAGAACUUAUUAUAUAGAGACGAGAGAAUCUUAUCUGUGGCAAUAAUUUACGACUGAGUAAUUGAAUAGUUUUUCUCUCUGCUGGAGAAUGCCAACAAA